GGCGGCGAACGAAUAGGUGCGAAAAUAUUUGUUGUGUGCCUGGCAAAUAUUUUGGAAAUACACAAGCUAAAUAAAUAAAUAAUACGCAAAUAUAUGUAUUGUAUGUAUUGUAUGCAUUGUACAAAUGUGUGAAUAAUCAGUGCGAACGUGAGAAUUGCGCUGGCGUUGCAAAUCCGCAGUGUUGUACCAUUGAUGUGGAGUGUCAAUUAUGUGGAAAUAUAUUUACAAAGAUACCCCAUCAUCAGCAGUGUGUGUGUGUGUGUGCGAUCCUCCUGGCACUGAAUGUCACUAAGAGCCCCACAGAGAGAGAGAGAGAGAGAGAGAGAGCAAGCGAGCGAGUGGGAGUAGGCCUUCCAGCUGCUCUCUUUUAGUUCAGUGCGUGUAGAUCAGUUACCGCCAACAACAACAACAACAACAACAACAAACAAACAAACAAACAAACAGCAAAGCAAAGCACAAUUCACAUUCAUUCCCAUUCAUUGCUGCGAUUAUCGCCAGUUUUGCUUUGGCCACUCUUGCUGCUCUUUCACCACGCACAAAACAAAAACAACAAAAAGCUCGAGAGAGAGUAGUGGGUGAGAGGACGAGUGAGAGUGACGCGUGUGAACCAGUAGUAAAGAAAAAUGCAAGAGGAGCGCAAGGCGGAGUGGAGCAAGUGAAGUUGCCUUUCCCCCUUUGCACGGAAAGUCGAUCGGGAACGCCCACUUAUGACGCCCCCUGUGACGCGUUAUCAGCGGACACACACCAAACACAACAAACACAAAGACCUAACGAAAAUCCACACAAAAUGGCGAUAAACCCAAGUGCCAGAGAAUAUCCGCGGGCCUAAAAAGUUUGCAUCGAACGAAGGAGUGUAAAGAAACAAACGAGUUUGUUAUUGCUGCACACACCCUCCCCCCACCGACACCCAGCACCCCACUAUCCAGAGUCCAACAGUCCAGCAUAGCGAUCGCAGGAGAGUCAGGGAAUCAUCCAUCGGAGGAGCGAUAAGCCAUCUGAAAGUUUGGGUGGCCCAGUCCGCAGCCAACCCCGCAUCAAACCCGAAACAAGCGCCUAAGAUGUGUUCCCGCAACAUAAAGAUCUCGGUGGUGCUGUUUCUCGUCUUGAUACCAAUCUUCACCGCCUUGCCACACAACCACAAUCUGUCGAAGCGCAGCAAUUUCUUCGAUCUGGAGUGCAAGGGCAUCUUCAACAAGACCAUGUUCUUCCGACUGGACCGCAUCUGCGAGGAUUGCUAUCAGUUGUUCCGCGAGACGAGUAUACACCGAUUAUGCAAGAAAGACUGCUUUGAUUCAAAAUGGUUCGGCGAAUGCCUGAAAGUGCUGUUAAUACCCGAAGAGGAAAUAUCGAACUUACAGCACUUUCUGAGAGUCGUUAACGGCUCGCCCAUAUCCUUCAACAUGGCGCCGCAGACAUAACUUUAAGUCCCCGAUUUUCCCUACCCUAUCCCCCUUCAAAAAACCCAUCCAAACACACACACACCACAUACACAACAAGAACACACACACUAUCCAAACACAACAACAGUUGAAAUUCGCUGCAACUACAACCACAAAUGCAGAGCCAGAACAAAGAAAUCUAAAAUAUUAAAACGCCCAAAUUUAAUUCGUACUUAUUUAUUACUGUAUGCUUUACAGUUUUUACUAUAUAUGUGUUUUUUUAAAAACGAAUUAUUUUUAUUAAUUUAUUGAGAACGUUAUGCGUUUGUUGUAAGUAACAUAAUCGUAGGGAAGAAGAGGGCGUUGGGAGAGAUAGCGAAUCGGAUCAUAUAGGAUAAAGAGAUCCGAUCCCUUUCGCCACUCCGCCGCCGCCGACGUAAAUAGGAAGCCGAAGUAUUUAUUUAUAAGUAUUCUUAGCUUGUUUUAUUAUUAUUGCGUUAUGCGUUAUGUAUAUAAAAUAAACAAAACGAAAUCCACUGUUUUUAAUCUAUAUAAUGUUAAAUGAUUAUUUUUAUUUUUGUAUACUAUUGUAAAAUCAGCAUUUAACGUUUACAUUUUACACGAUUUUCCUGCAAGGGCAAAACCACAAAAAGGCAAAAAGGAAAACCUAAUCCAUACUACACACACACAUUACACACAGCUACACCCACACGCACACACACACGAGACCGAAAGUAUUUUGCAAAUGUAUUACAGUUACAAUUUCGUGCUAUUUUGUAAAGAUUAAACCCCUAAUUAGCGUAAAUUUGUUGGCAAAAAUGAGAGGAAAUAUAUAUCUAUAUAUCUAUACCUAACAAUUAUCCGCAUACUACGACACACACACAUACUAAAUGUUUAGUCUAAAUAACGCAAGAACGCAAUUUGUGCAAGACACAAACAAAAACCCUCGGUAAAAACACGCGACAACGUUUGAUUACAUUAAAAAUGUAGCAAAAAAACACCGCACUAUAAGCCCAAAUGUAAAAUAAUAAAGGAUAAUCAUUCGCUGGCUAUUUGAGAGCAUCAAAAUUGUGAUAAAUGAGAAUUAGAAUGCGAAUGCGCGACGCGGAGAGGCCCAGAAGUGCCCAGAGAUGCCCCAGAAAGAGUUUGCAGAUACAGUCCACAGCCGCCAGUGAAGGAGAUCGCUAUACAGCCUGUGAAAGAGAAGGCGAUUAUGCGCGCGAUUCUGGCGCACAUUUAAAAACGCCGGCUUACCGUUUUUGUUUUGGCAAGAAUGCUUCGGAUCGCCCUUCUUCAACGCCUGCAUUGAGGCUCUGCAGCUGCACGAGGAGAUGGACAAGUACAACGAAUGGCG